GUUCCUGCAGUUCCUUAUGAGGCAGGCUGCGGCUGUGGCAAGGGAUUUGCUUUGCACUUGGAAAAAUUCACAAGGAAGGGAUUUGACCAGGUUGAUUCUGUACAACCAAAGCUAGAGAAGCACCAGUCCAUAAGAGAAAUCCAAUUUUGCUUUCACUUUGUUGGAAGCGCAGCUUUCAUUCUAGCCAAAAGGGUGAGAACUGCUGGUUCCUUUACAUUUUAUGUUUUGGUUCUGAAAAUUCAAAUGCAAGAGAAAGCACAGCUCUGACACACUAAGGGACGAGCUUCCUGCACUGAUCUGAGCGCAGCCGUACCAGUAUGAGCGUGGGUAGUGCUGGACUUGAUCCCUGUGUUUGUGCUAUAUGGUUGCUGCUGUUAACUGAGUGGAAACUCACUGGAUUAUUUCCAUUAGGAGGAGAAAUUGAUGAUAGGAGACGGGAAUGCCUUUGGUUUAUUUACAAAGUGUGUACGCAGAAUCUUGUUUCUCUGAAUACAACAGAAACAAACAGCAGGCACUUCACUUACUCAGAGUUUCCGAGCCUGCUUCUGGUGCAGAGCGUGUUUGCUGCACAGCCGCACUGCUUUGAUGUGUCCCCUCACAGGACAGCUUCUCCAGCGACGGUUCCUUAGGACAGACAGACAAGUAGACACAUGAAAAACCAGCUAGCUGCCUCCCAGCCUCCGUGUGCCCCAGCUGACUCCACUUUGGUGCAGCCCACUUCAGCCUGGGCUUGGCUGUGAUUUGGGUGGCAUCUUCCGAAGUCUCCAGGCUCCUGUGCAUGUAGGCACUAAGCUGCUCUUUUCUUUUAGCUUUAAAGAUGGAUAACAGCAUCAGCUUUGCUGAAGUAUGUGGCUGUAGAUUAAAAAGCCCACUGCAGUGGAAAUUCUCUAUACACAGCCUACCACCGCUUGUGCACCUAUGAGAAUCCCCAAGCCUGCGGUAGAGCUGAGCUUCUUGUAGCACAGCAGAACUUAGAAUCAUAGAAUCAUAGAAUCUCCAAGGUUGGAAAAGACCCACAGGACCACCCAGUCCAACCCACCACCAAUACUUCUCACUAAACCACGUCCCUCAACACAACGUCCAAACAUUCCUUGAACACCUCCAGGGUCAGUGACUCCACCACCUCUCUGGGCAGCCCAUUCCAGUGCCUGACCACCCUUUCAGAGAAGCAGUAUUUCCUAACGUCCAGCCUGAAUCUUCCCUGGCACAGCUUGAAGUCAUUCCCUCUAGUCCUAUCACUGGUUACACAAGAGAGGAGGCCGACCCCCAGCUCACUACAACUUCCCUUCAGGUAGAUAUAGAGAGCAAUAAAGUCUCCCUUAUUACUCCCUUAUUCUGCAUGGUCUUGGAAGUGUUUAAAUAAUGAACUGUUCUCAGUUUCCUUAAUGCAGGCAAACUUUCACACUGGUUCUAAGGCACCACAACUUAUCUCAAAUCUGUGGCAGGAGCUUUUGUCAAGGGAAAAGGAAUAAAUAAUGACAUAUAAACUUGACAGUUGAGAAUCGUUCCUGAACACUUGCAACAAGCCAAUGUUCUCAAAUUUCAAAUGAAUGCAGAUUUUUGUAGCACUGAGCCAGUCCUUCCCUAGCUCUGCUCAUCACAUCUUGAUAGGAAGGUGCAGCAGAUCAUGUCAGAAGGAGAUUCUUCUCCCAGUGAAAAAAGAUUCCCACCACAUUUCAAACCAAAAAAGUGGAGAAUAAGGGCAGCACAUUUGCUCUGCAUCGUGUAUUUCAGCUCACUGUCUUAACACUCGUUACCUCCUCAAGUAAUACUUACUUGGGGCAAAGAACAUCAGAGUAAUGUUAAUUGCAGGUGUAACCCACAUCAAAUCCACGGUGUAGAAAUGGAAGAGCAGAUGGCAGUCGGGUGUCCUCCCAGAGCCACAUCCCUGCAGUGUUCCCAUACCUUCUUCUCAGGACAAAUUGCUGAUAGCCUCAAAUGCACAAAGGUUCACUUUUUCUCUGACCUCUAUAAUUCACUGAUCUCUUUAAUUUAAGUGUUUUUGUAUGGAAAAAAGAUUGACUGGUUCAAUUUAGGUACAUAUACACUACUCUACAACAACUCAUAAAGUAUUAGUCGGGUGCAACAAGCAUUAUAUUUAUCACAUUUACAUCAAAUAACAGAACAGCUAGUAGUUUGUGAAACCCAUUCUUUGAACCUGAUGUUUUCAGUGAUUCAUUUCAUGUUUAUUGGAUGCGCACAUUGCUUGUGUUUGUCAAUAGCAUUGAAAACUAUGACUAGAUAGAGAAAAAUAAACAUUUUAAAACAUGAACAGACUGCAUUAGUAGCAGUGGAAUGCAUCUAGUUAACUAAAGACAUUGUCCUCAGGCACUAAAGAGAUCAUAAUUACAGUUGCAACUCCACCUUCUUGCUUAUUUUGCUCUGAGGAGUCCAAGAGUUUGGAUUCCUUACUUUGAAUAAAUGUGGAUACUUCCUUCAGGGUCUGAAUAAGGAAAAAUUGACAGCUACAUUCCAAAAAAACUGUAGCUGGAUGGAAAACGACUGCUUGCAAUGCUAAUGUGCUCUCAGUUUGGUGGUGUAAAUCAGUAUCCUCUCUUGAAGAAAAGCGUGUAGCUAGAAUGAAUAUCAGAUAUGAGACCAAGAGUUCUCUUCAUUCCACGAGUUGAAAAUUUCCAUACGAAAAUAAGCAAAAAUUGUGUAAAAUCUUUUUUAAUAACCCUCAACAAAUCUGUGGGAGAAAAUACAGUGGAAAGCUCUUCUUUCUAUUGGCAUUUGCUCUGCUUCAAGGACAAACCAUGUGAGCACUAAAAUAAAUGAAUCAGAUGGAGAGUGAUAUUCAGCUACGCCCUGGACUAAUUUUGCCCAGUGAUAUCACAAAGCUUCAUUUUUUCCAUAGUUCUCUCCUUAUUUGUAAAGCUUGGGUUCUGCCACAGAUGCUCUCCCAUCCCAAAGGCAGUUCUUUUAGCAUUUAGUAUUCCUCUUUGCCUCACCUAUCUGUAGCAACUAAUUUUCGAUUUAGUGUCACUGGCUUCAGAGUAAUAUCCAAACCUGUACUUGGGCAGAAGGAUCUGAAGCCUGUAUCUCUUUUUAAAAAUAACAUUGAUUUGGUCAUAAACAUCUUUUUGCAUCCUUAGAAAUCAAUAGGGACUUCUAGUCAGACAUGGGGUUCGAUGGAAAAAAGUUAUAAUAACGACAAACACCGGCGGUGGAGCAGUGAUAAAUGAAGCUGCUCAGCUCCCUGGCACGUAGAUUCAGCAGAAAACAUUUGACUGAAACAGUUUCUAUAUCAUGUUUGGCCUCAUGAAUGUUCAGCGGUAGAGGCCAAAUCCUGUCCUCAAUCAAAUCUCUGCAAUUCUCUUCAACUAUGCAGCAGCUUUCAUCUGUUUUCUUACAUCAGAUUCUUUUGCAGGAGUUCAGCCUUGCCAAGCAUCUUGAAGUUGUAUUACCAAAGUUUUUGUCAUUGAAGUACUGUAACUACCCACCUGUACAGUAACGAUAACACACACAGUGGACAUAACAACCUAAUCUUCCUACUUUUCUUUGCGUCAACUCCAUGGGGAAAAUGCCAGAGGAGACAUUUAUCAGACGUGUUGUCAUAUCUCUUUGUGUUUUGAACCUCUCCAAAAUGAAAAAGUGAAGCAGUUUGUUUGACUUGCAGAAGGGGUUUUGGCUUACUCCCCAUGAAAAUAUGAUUAUAAAUUCCUCCUGCAUUUACUGUUGGCAUAUUCUAAACAAUUGAGUCCACUGAUUACUGAGUUAUAUAAGAAUUCUUGUGUUAUUUGAGACUUAAUACAUCAGACGCUGUGUAAAAGUGACAUACCUGUUUUUUAACAUAUCAAAUCCAAACCAAAGAGAACUUUUUCUGUUUUGUGGGAUUUUUAUUGCAGGCUGGGGGAGGAGGAAAGAAAACUGUGGGAAUUCUUGCCUCAUACUCCCAAGUUGAUGCUUUCGGUGCAAAUUUUACCCACUUGCAGCUGGGCUGUGAGUAUUGCUGCUCUGUGAUAGUGAUGUUGAUGUCCUUAUUUAAACCUCUGGGGCUCAGCCUCUGUGUCUGAUUCAAGAUUUUGAAAGUCUUGGCAUCUACCCUGAAGCUUCUCGAUGAAUUGUAAGACAUGAAAGAAACUGCAUUUUGCCCAUUCCACUUUUUACCUUAGUUGUGGCACGCCACAUUAUCUGUCACAGAUGGGAAAAACACAUGUGAAUGAAUGUAAUCCAUUUAUUGGUUUAUGGUCACAAAGUCCUCAAGGGAGUGUUCCAAAUCCAGAAUGCUGGAUUUCCUAUUUCAGUAAGUUAGCAGAAAGACGUUUCUUCCUAUUCACUACAUGUCCAGCAUGAUUUGGUAAACUCAUCAAAGGUGAAGAACAACCACAUGUAAGACUAUUCCUCUCAGACAUUUUUGAUGAAUAACUGAUUAAAAAAAAAAAAAGCUCUCUGAGAUCUUCAAAAUGCAAAUGAAGAGAUUUCUACAGAGGGAUGACACAGCUGAAGAACACAUUUCCAGACAACAGUGCUACCCCAUAUUGUAGGAUGAGUAGUUCUUUGUAUUCUGUUGUAUCCUGUGUAUUUUCUAUAGCAUUUGUCCUAUUCUGACACACUCUUAUUUUUUACUAUUACUGACAUAUCAGACCUGAUAUGUCAAACCUGAAUCUUAGACAUUUAGUCAGUGUGUGUUGUAAAUGUGAUUUUUCUGUAAGUUGCUCUUUGGUUGAAAGCUCUCCUUAAAGAAUCGUAAAGCACAGAUACUAAGAGCAAAACGCACUCACAUUGUCCUUUAAGCGUGCUUCAGUUUGUUCACAGAAGGAGUGAGUAAAAGUCCUAUCAGAGUGAAUAAGCAGUCUUUGUUCUUUUAGUUUGGUUUGCCAGUUGUGGACCAAGUUUUUCUGAGACAAGGACAUCUUCCUAAUCAGAAAGUUGUGGAGAUGAACAUUCAUCUGCUGUAGCCACUGAGCAUCCAGCGGUAUUUGGAUAUCUCCAGGUCACACUGGGUUCCCACCACGUUCUAAAUCCACAAGGUGUUUAGAAUGGAUCAUAGAUCCCAUUUGAUAAAAUGUGCAAGUGAGGCAUAAUGUGUAACUUAUUAAACUGAUAGCUCAGGAAUUGAUUACUCAUUGGCAAGAAGCUCAUAGAGCAAAGUAAGAACAUACUGAAGAAGAAUGUAUUAAACAGAUUUCUGCAGGUAGGCUGUGUGGUCUCCAACAUUAACAGAGGAAGCAGGAAGUCCAGCACUCUGCUCUUGAUUUCACUAUCAGCUAUUUAAUAGCACUGUUUAUUCUUAUCCUCACAGUUUGUCCAACAGUGUCACUUCGACUCUUUAAAGACGGGACCCCAGCUGAAUCCCUUCUUCUUUAGGGUUCGGUUUCUCUAUCUCAUCGUUGUGUUUUAGAACUGUAUUGUUAGGAUGACUUGGCAAUGUUUGCUGAGCACUUUGAAGAAACGAAGCAAAGUAUUAAGUUAUAAGUAGGGUAGUUAUUUAAGAAAAACUUCAUUAUUUUUCAAAAGCAAACAAUUUUGGCAAGAUGAUAAAAGGAAGAAAGAAAAAGGGAGUGUAGCACUGAAGACAGUAUGCUCAUUUUCUUCUCACCAAACAGUAAAUGCUUUAGGAACACUACAUUCUUUCAUUCUCAUCUCGCACUCAAGAGCAGUCAUUUCAUAUCUCUAUUUACCUUUCUUAAGCCAUACUCUGUGCUCAUGCUUUUCAGCACUUUAUACAUUUAUUUAAGGAUCAACUCAGAGCACUUAUUCAUCUUAUUAGGAAAACACAUUACAUUCACACAUCAGAGCCUGCAACUGCAAAGCUACUAUAAAUCAUAAGAUAUCACUGACACCCCCCUUUCAUCUUCUCAGAGAUGCAAUGCUCUUUGCAGGGUUUUUGCUUUCACUGAGGUUGCUUUGCUACUUCCUCCUGGGGACUGAAAUAAACAGUUUUCCUUUCCUUUCUCAGCUGGUAUCUUCUUUCCUCCUGAUAGCGCACGGCAGCGUGGCUGUUAGUUGUUGGUGUAUACAGGUCAGCCCAUGCAUCUCUGGCAUUCCAAAGCAAUAUUGUAACGACAGCUCCUUUACCAAAAGGCAGUGCUCUUAUCAAAAUCGUUAAUGUAAUUUUCAUGAGCUCAUAUUAUUAUGGCACUUCUAUCAGUAAUAUAUUUACUGUAUAUUUACUGAACAUAUUCCUUUUUAAACAGAAGCAAGAAAGAUAAAAGCAAGGAGGUGCAGCUCAAGACAUGACAUUUGCAUGUUAGGAAGAAUUGCAUAAAACAUUGACCUUGCUUUCAGUACUUUUGUGCUGAACUCAAGUAGUAUAAGUCAGGAAAACGCCCAGUGAGAGGAGUAAGUAAUUCAAGCAAAAGGAAAAGCUCAUCACACAGAAGAGACAACAUCGAGAACGCAAGAAAGUUUUUCAGAUGGGUCAGCGGUGGGAUGGUGUCAUAGGCAGCCAGAAGAAGGAUAAGAUUUGGAGGAUGUCUGCAGAGAAGCAGUCAGGACUAUUUGAAAACAACAAAACCCAAAGUUAUUACCCACUGUGAGCCCUGCUGGUAAUUCUGUAGCAUACUUUGGCUCCAUCCACAAGUUGCUGCCUGCCGGCUCAUUAAGUCAAUCCACUUGCUUUUUAUCGCUGACGAUAAGCAUGGAAACGUUUUGGGCGAUCUGUGACACCAUCAUUCAAUCUACAGCCUAGCUGUGGGGAGAUUAAUGAGACUCCACAGCUCUCCUGAAAUCUUCUUUUGGUGAUUGUGAAAACAGAAGUGCGAUUUCUGACAAAAGAAAGGCAAUAACUUCUUGUGAACUUUUCUUUAAAAUAAAGCCCCAAAGCAAUAACCUGAUCUGGACAGUUCAGGUGCAGAGAGCUGCUGUGAAUCAGCAGUUAAGAUGUGACGCAGCAAGCUGCAGUGUAUGGAGGCAAAUUUCUUGAUCUUUUCUGCUUAAAGUCAUGGUGAAGUCCAUCGCUUGUUUUAGUUAUCUGCUUUCUGAAUAUUGUACGUUAGCUAAGAAGUCUGAUGUGUUCUGCGGGACGGGUCACAAGGUACUGACCUGACGGUGCAUUGAGAACGUGCUGGAGAUAAGCUGUUUGUCUGCCUUUCUGCCUAAUAAUGAAAGGCACGACUCUGACUUUAAUUAAGCUGAUCUAUCCAGAAUGGGAACGUGAGGUUUUUUUUUUUUUUAAAAGACACUUUCUGAAAAGAUUCAUUUCCCGCUUCAUAACGGGGAAAUUACUUCUUUUUGGAUUAGAAAACAUCAUCUUUGGGGUUUGCAGGCUGAUGUCUCCACGGCGUGAACCCAGUAUUCACACAGGAUUGUGUAAUGGUAAAAGAAUUUGUCUGGAACAGCCAGCUUUAUGAUUGACUGGUGAUAUUCUGCUGAAGAAGAUCUGAGCGAAGAUAACAUUUUCAAAAGAAAAAUAUUGCUGGCACUUGACUACCUGUUCUGUAUAGCAUUUAUUCGCACUUGUCAACUAACCAAAAUAAAACCCUU
ensembl:lncRNA